UACGAAGGGGGCUAGCGUUGUUCGGAAUUACUGGGCGUAAAGCGUGCGCAGGCGGCUGCUCAAGUCAGGGGUGAAAGCCCAGAGCUCAACUCUGGAAUUGCCUUUGAGACUGAGUGGCUUGAGUACGGGAGAGGUGAGUGGAAUUCCCAGUGUAGAGGUGAAAUUCGUAGAUAUUGGGAAGAACACCGGUGGCGAAGGCGGCUCACUGGACCACAACUGACGCUGAGGCGCGAAAGCUAGGGGAGCAAACAGG
rnacentral:rRNA from 1 species